rnacentral:lncRNA from 1 species
UGACGGAAAGAUGGAGAAGCUGAAACUUGAACUUGAUCACUGUCUUGUGCUUUUUUGUCACUAAACACAUUUGGUUCAUUUUGCAUGGAAUGAGGAAUCCCUGUUUUGUUUUUGUUAUCAUCAUCCCCCCUUCUCUGACCAUCCUCAUGAUCUACAAGUAGCAGAUACUACUUAUCAUAUAGGCAAAGACACAUAUGACGAUCAACAAAUCAUAUGUGGGCAAAGAAUGACCCCAUACCAUAACUACGCCAGUCCUGGGAAAGAAUGGAAUCUUGUCCAGUAUCAAGACGACCAGAUGCUUCAGCAGCAGCAACAUGUGAAAGCUCUUCCUGCAGAGCGUGUGCAAUAACCGCAUCGCUCUCUAUAUUAUUGAUAUA